UGUGCUCAUGAUCAUCAAGUAGUUAUUUUCAUCUGGUAGUGGUUUUUAGCAUCUGAACAUCUUGGGAAAUACGCGUGUCGGGGUACUUCAGAGAGGAGCUGCAGCAGAGGCUAUAGGGGAGGGGUUUGUCCUGGGAAGGCCCCAUGCACAGACUGGAAUCUGUGCUGCUCACUUUCUGCAGUUGAGCGGUGGCUUUUGCAGGUCUGGGCACGGGUGCACUUCAGAUAUGUUUUAUUCCCUCUGUUCCCUGCCAUCAUCACAGACCCUCGAUGCAUCCUGUGGACAGGAAGCUCAAAGGUGCUCCGAGUAACUGUGUGAUCUGUCUCCCCACCGCCAUGGCAGCCAGGUGUGAAGAGAGGGGAUCUCAAUUAAAAAGUGAGAGCUUGAAGAAGCCAUCUGCCAUGUUGUCAGGAAGCCAUGGAGAGAGCCAGGUGGCAAAGAACUGUGAGCAGCCUGAAGGAGCUGAGAGUGGCCUCCAGCCAACAGCCAGUGGGAAGGCAGGAACCUCAGUGUUACUGCCACAAAGAAAGAAAUUCUGGUAACAAUGUAAAGGGAGACAGAUUUGUUACUGUUCAUGGCUCCAGAAGGCUAAGCCCUGGGUGACACUUUGGUAGCAUCUUUGCAGAGGACCCUCUUAAGGCAGCCCAGACUCCUGACCUGCAGAAGUAGAGAGAUAAUAAAUGUGUGUGGUU